rnacentral:lncRNA from 1 species
CGAUUCCGAUUCCCGCUCCAUUUUCUCAUGUUGUUCAUCUUGUUCACACCACAUAAAGAUUCUAUGUUUAAUUGCGUAUUUGCAUCUCGGCUUCUGGUUCUAUUUGCAAUAAACAGAACAAAAUAUUAGGUUGACUCAUAAUAACUUCAGUAUAGAGACCCUACUAUGUCUCUGAUCAUCUGAAAGUCAUGCAAUUUUGUGCUCUCAGACACCGAAAUUAAGACAUGGCCAAGCAUGUUGUCGCUGCUGUGCUGCAAAGGGUAGGCGCAACAAACAUGUAUGAGGCCACCAAAUAAUUAUUUUGUGCUAUGAGUGUACUCCAAAAGGACCAAUCAUACUAAAAUAUCAUGUUAAUUUUUAACAGAAUGUAUUCCUCUCCAACUGAAUUAAAUGAAUAUAUAAUUUAAAAGACUUCACGCGCCACCUUCAAACUUCAAAGAAACGAUUAUCAUGUAUAAUGUUUGGUCCCAUUCAAUCUUGUACAAUUAAUCUAGUUUCACAAGAAGACUUUGGGCUUUCCCUUGGCAAUGUUCUGGAUCCGGUUCUUUAACAUGUGUAAGACAAAUAUGAAAAUAUAUGAAAUUCAAGAUCCAACAAAUACACUAGCAAAAGUAUCUGCAAAACUCCAGACUACAAAAUAUUAAGUUUCAUCUUGCUGUCUGGACAUGAAGUAAGAACAUGAAUCAAUUUACCUGAUGGGGAUGUGUCUAGUUUCAGCUUAUACUCUCAUCGGAAAGGAAAUGUUAUGAUUACUAUGAAAAAUCUCGUCAUGCACCAAACCACCUGAUGAAAUUAGAAUGAAACUUCAGGGUGUCACUACUUGAGAACUUGCCCGGCAUUCCAAAUUACAAACCUUACCUACACAAAAUGGGUGAGAAACCCUACCCCGUUUGUCUAUUAUAUGCUAAUCUUUCGCUAGGCGAUACAUUUAGCUCCAUCAAUUAACAUAAGCAGAAAAGUCUAGCCCAAUUUUCCUUCAAUCUGAACCACAUGACGUGCAAAGGCAGCUCCUAUUCAACGGCCAGUAAACAGAGUGCAUGUGUGCUCCCAGGCUCACAAUACCAAUGAAACUCGAUUGACCAUGUGUUAUGGGUAAAGUAGCAAUGCCAACACGCUACAGCAAAUCUAGAGCCAACGAAAAUUCAACCUCGUCCUUGGCUAACUUGACGUACUAAUGUAUUUCAGAGUUAGACCAAAAAGGACCUACAGUCGCAUGGCACAGGCACAAAACCAAGGCUGCUCAUGGCGAUGUCGAAUUGCAGUGCAAAUUGGAGGGAUCGCAAACUCACUGUAGGGUCUCGGGCAAGCUAGUGAUGGUAACGUGCCACUUGAACACUUGCUAAAUCAAAUCAGGAUCGAGCUGGGGCUGACCCGGUUGACAGAGCAAAUUCACUCUAUUAAUUGCUUAUACUACCAAAUUUCAUGGAAUCCUCCUGACCCGGUCGAGCUGCCGCACUCAC